rnacentral:rRNA from 1 species
UACGGGGGGAGCAAGCGUUGUUCGGAUUUACUGGGCGUAAAGGGCGCGUAGGCGGUCAGCACAAGUCAGUUGUGAAAUCUCCGGGCUUAACCCGGAAAGGUCAACUGAUACUGUGCGACUAGAGUGCGGAAGGGGCAACUGGAAUUCUCGGUGUAGCGGUGAAAUGCGUAGAUAUCGAGAGGAACACCUGCGGCGAAGGCGGGUUGCUGGGCCGAUACUGACGCUGAGGUGCGAAAGCGUGGGGAGCAAACAGG